rnacentral:rRNA from 1 species
CCAAUAGCGUAUAUUAAAGUUGUUGCAGUUAAAAAGCUCGUAGUUGAAUUUCGGGAUUCUACCGUCGGUCGGGCUAACAAGUCUGUACUGGUGUGUAGAAUUUCUACCUUCUGGGGAACUAUCAUGUUAUUAAUUUAGCGUGGUGGGAAACCAGGACCUUUACCUUGAAAAAAUUAGAGUGUUCAAAGCAGGCUUACGUCUGAAUACAUUAGCAUGGAAUAAUAGAAUAGGACGGUGGUCCUGUUUUGUUGGUUUCUGAAUCACCGUAAUGAUUAAUAGGGAUAGUUGGGGGCAUUAGUAUUCAAUUGUCAGAGGUGAAAUUCUUGGAUUUAUUGAAGACUAACUUCUGCGAAAGCAUUUGCCAAGGAUGUUUUCAUUAAUCAAGAACGAAAGUUAGGGGAUCGAAGACGAUCAGAUACCGUCGUAGUCUUAACCAUAAACUAUGCCGACUAGGGAUCGGACGAUGUUAACCUUUAUUGACUCGUUCGGCGCCUUACG